CGGUUUUCAAGCAGACAAGUCAAUCGUUUCUUCUGCUAGCCACAACAGUUUCAAUGACUAGUUGGUCCGUGCCCUGGGUCAUGUGACCACUGACCGUUGCUGAAAGGAGUGUUCUCCUGGGGGUUUUUCGUUACAUGGAUUCAUCCAUCCACAAUGAACAAUAAAGUCUCUCUAUAGAA